rnacentral:rRNA from 1 species
CUGACGGUAGUCGUAUGCUCGUCUCCGAGACUAAGCCAUGCAAGUCCAAGUACACGUCCUUGAACGACGGAAACUGCGAACGGCUCAUUAAAUCAGUUGCGAUCUACUCGGCGUUCCGCGCCGCCGGAUAACCGUAUUUCUAGGGCUAAUACGUGCGAAGCGCCGAAGCCGCGAGGCGACGGCGUUCUCGCCGGAUGUAGGAACCGACCCGGGGACCGCCGGGGCAACCCGGCGCCCCCGAGACGGGGCGAACCACGGUGAAAUGACGGAUCGUCGGCCCCGCGCCGGCGACUCGCCGAAUGAGUUUCUGACCUAUCAACUCGAGACGGCGGGGUAGAGGCCCGCCGCGGUAACGACGGGUAACGGGGAAUCAGGGUUCGAUUCCGGAGAGGGAGCCCGAGAAACGGCUACCACUUCCAAGGAAGGCAGCAGGCGCGCAACUUACCCUAAUCUCGAUUCGAG